CAACACCCAGCUUUACACCUCAGACCCUGCCCUGCUCCUCCCAUGGCAAGAUCCACCAAAGAGAAGAGGAAAAAGUCAUACCCGUAGCAGGAAGACUGGGGACUGUGACAGGCUCACACCCCUCUCACUGUGACGCUGGCAUCCCAGUAGCUGGUCUGCAGGUUGAGCUCCCAUGGAUGAAUAUGGCCCUGAGGAAGGACUUCAAGAUUUCACCUCUUUGUUUUUUUCUCCCUACAAAAAUAUUCUCCCCAAACAGAUGUAACCUAAGUCGCAUGGUCUCUGAGUAAGAAUUGGGAAAAAAUGAACAGCUUGCAAUGCCUCCUUCAACCCACCCCAGCCUAGCACAGAGCACUGCACGGAGCUCAGAAUACGUGGGCACUUUCUUCAUCUGUGGGGGAGACGUGGAGUUUGCUCCUGCACGCUCUAGCCUGGAUCAAACAAAGGAUUUAAGUAUGUGGCUUACACUAACACUGAAUUAGCUUUGGGUAAAGCAUUAGGCAAAUACAAAGUAUUAUUUGGAGGGCCUCAGCUCAGGUGCCUAUGUACCGCUGCCCUCUGCUGACAGAACAAUACAUUUGCUAGCGUGCAUAUAAUAAAUGAGCAC